rnacentral:rRNA from 2 species
AGUGGAAGCGUCUGGAAAGGCGCGCGAUACAGGGUGACAGCCCCGUACACAAAAGCGCAUGUGCUGUGAGCUCGAUGAGUAGGGCGGGACACGUGGUAUCCUGUCUGAAUAUGGGGGGACCAUCCUCCAAGGCUAAAUACUCCUGACUGACCGAUAGUGAACCAGUACCGUGAGGGAAAGGCGAAAAGAACCCCGGCGAGGGGAGUGAAAAAGAACCUGAAACCGUGUACGUACAAGCAGUGGGAGCACAGGUUUACCUGUGUGACUGCGUACCUUUUGUAUAAUGGGUCAGCGACUUAUAUUCUGUAGCAAGGUUAACCGAAUAGGGGAGCCGGAGGGAAACCGAGUCUUAAUUGGGCGUUAAGUUGCAGGGUAUAGACCCGAAACCCGGUGAUCUAGCCAUGGGCAGGUUGAAGGUUGGGUAACACUAACUGGAGGACCGAACCGACUAAUGUUGAAAAAUUAGCGGAUGACCUGUGGCUGGGGGUGAAAGGCCAAUCAAACCGGGAGAUAGCUGGUUCUCCCCGAAAGCUAUUUAGGUAGCGCCUCGUGAAUUCAUCUCCGGGGGUAG